UACGUAGGGUGCAGGCGUUAAUCGGAAUUACUGGGCGUAAAGCGUGCGUAGGCGGUUUGUUAAGACAGGUGUGAAAUCCCCGGGCUUAACCUGGGAACUGCGCUUGUUACUGGCAGACUGGAGUGUGGCAGAGGGGGGUGGAAUUCCAGGUGUAGCAGUGAAAUGCGUAGAUAUCUGGAGGAACACCGAUGGCGAAGGCAGCCCCCUGGGCUAACACUGACGCUGAUGCACGGAAAGCGUGGGGAGCAAACGGG
rnacentral:rRNA from 1 species